rnacentral:rRNA from 1 species
AACGAACGCUGGCGGCAGGCCUAACACAUGCAAGUCGAGCGAAGCCUUCGGGCUUAGCGGCGGACGGGUGAGUAACGCGUGGGAACGUGCCCUUUGGUACGGAAUAGCCCCGGGAAACUGGGAGUAAUACCGUAUGUGGUCGAGAGACGAAAGAUUUAUCGCCAAAGGAUCGGCCCGCGUUGGAUUAGGUAGUUGGUGGGGGUAAUGGCCUACCAAGCCGACGAUCCAUAGCUGGUUUGAGAGGAUGAUCAGCCACACUGGGACUGAGACACGGCCCAGACUCCUACGGGAGGCAGCAGUGGGGAAUCUUAGACAAUGGGGGAAACCCUGAUCUAGCCAUGCCGCGUGAUCGAUGAAGGCCUUAGGGUUGUAAAGAUCUUUCAGUGGGGAAGAUAAUGACUGUACCCACAGAAGAAGCACCGGCUAACUACGUGCCAGCCGCCGCAGUAAAAC